UGUGUUUGUGCGUCACGAGGAGGGAUCAGCCAGAAAAAUAUUUGUUUUGGCUGUCCCAUAUCCUGCCUCAUAUGACGUGGAAGGUCCUUUUGAUGUGCAGGGCCUCACUAUGAAGAAUGCUGCUUGUUCCUGCUGGGAUGAGUGUCUAAGAAACCAAGAUGAAGAGCUAAGACAAGGCUAACGUCAUGAACAUUAGAAAGAGUGAAAAAAUAAUAAUUGCUUUCUGUGUUUAAGCCAGCCCAGCACAUCCUGGGUACCACCUCCUGGCGAAGGCAGAUAACGAUGAUAAAAUUCACCACUCCCUUCAAUGCACCAGCACAGCUUUUGGUCCACUGAGGAAAAGAGUGUUUGAAGAUCAAGACCUCACACUUGGCACAAAACUUCUGGUCCACUGAGCAGCAGUGAUCCAUGCCCUUGUGGACCAGCUAUAGCAGGGAUCUCAAGGCACUGAAAAAAGACCAUCAAUAUUUCUGAAAAAUUCUCCAAGUUCACUGGAAGAAUAAGCAAAUCAAUGUCGGCAUCCUCUACCAGGUCAAUGUCCCCAUUAUUGAGACUCUAGUUACUCUCAGUUGGUUACAGUUAGGCCAUGUCACACACAUGCCCAACACCGGACUCUGAAACAGACACUCUAUCCUGAGCUCAGUUAUGGGAGAAGAUUAAUAGGUGGACAGAAAACAGAUUCAAGGAUGUGCUCAAAGCUUCCAUGAAGACAUGCAACAUCCCUGGGAAUACCUGGCCCAUGACCAUUCAAAGUAGAGGAGGAGAAUUUGGGAUAGUAUUAAGAAUCUCAAGGUCAUGCAUUGGGUGCACACAGAAGCCAUGCAUGAGUGAUGAAAUGGGUGUACCAUCUCACAAACUAACCACCAUCAACCACCAACCCCAUCAGACGUCUCCUGCCCGUCUGUAGAAGAGUCUGGGGUUCCCACAUUGGCCUCAUCAGUCACCUCAGAACGCACAGAACCAGCGUGGAAGCAAGUCAUCCUCAAUCCCGGGGACUACAUAAGAAGAAGAGGCGCAGUUGUGUUAGUUCUGCAUUAAUGCUCAAUAAUAUUGUGUGUCAACCGAGCAGCCACUAACUUUUGCCCACAUAUCUAAAAUUGUGAUGCUUACAUUAACCUACUGACUUGGUGUUAAUGGUUCUUUCAUUAGUGAUAGAAUCCUAGAAUCUUACAGCACAGAAGGACACCUUUUGACCCAUUGUAUCUCUACCAGCCCUUCGAAAGGUUUACUCAGCUAGUUGUACUCUUUUUCUCUUUCCCCAUAGCCAUGCAACUUUUUUUCCUUUCUAAAAUUACUGUUACAUGUACUUUCUCUACCACAUCAGGCAGUAAAUUCCAGAUACAAACACCUUGUUGCUUAACUAAAGAGCUUUUGCUAGGCCCCAUUUGGCCAUUAUCUUAAUUCUCUGCCCAAGUUACUAACUAUCUGCCAGUGGAAAUAAUUUCUCCUUAUUUACUCCAUCUAUACCUUUCAUACCCUUGCAGAACGUCUCCCCUUAACCUUUCCUGUUCUUUGGUGAAGAACCCCAGAUUCUCCAGUCUCUCCACAUAACUGAAAUCCCUCAUCCUUGGUAUCAUUCUGGUGAAUCUCCUCAACACUCACUCAAGGCCUUGAUGUCCUUCCAAAAAUGUGGUGUCCAGAAUUGAAUACAGCAACCUA